UCACUCAUCAUAUGUUCCUACAAUCAUGACAGUUUUAUUCACUUUAUCGCUACAAUAAUAAUUUCAAAAUUUAGUUGUGCAGUGACAUAUGAAACAAAAUCAAGAUAAAUUCCAUAUUUCAAUAUAAAUAAUAAUACAAGAAGUAUAUGUGCAUCAUGAAAUUUGAAUAAAGUUUAAGUGUUCCGCUAAAUUUGUAUUAUUCUCUGAUGACGUCACACGAUUCGUCAAAAAUGAUCAGUCUAUCGAUGCCUGUUUUUAAUUUCGUUUUUAAAUUAAUUUGUUAACGAAUUUGAAAGUGCAAAUUUAUUUCAAAGAGAAUCUUUACUGCUAUCUUCUCUUUGACUCGUGCCAUGAAUGAAUCAUCAAAAUCAUUGUCAAGUUUUGCAUUGUGUUGCAACAAUUCUGCUGCUUUGCAGAAGCGUUGCACGUGUUGCUAUGUAACAAGCUCGUUUCUCGAUAAAUUUUCCGACGAGAGUCUACAGACGACCCUUUGCACAACGUAUUGCGUUACUCAGAUUACAUGUGGACCUGAUAAAUAAACCAUACAUUGCGCAUCAUCCUUGAAAACCCUUUUCAUCUACGAAUUUAGCAAAGAUUUAAUUACUCCAUAUUCCUCGUCGCUUGAUAUUCAGAAAUAAAUUUCGAAUAAUUAAUAUCGAAGAAGGACAGAGUUAUUGUGUUCUAUGAUCUGAUAUGUUUUUUAAAGAAAAAUCCGCAGAAUUCAGCAGAAUUUCCUCGUAUCAUCACGUUAGUUGGCACAACAACAAGCAUUCUAAGGGAAUUCUCGAUGGAAUGGAAAAGGAGUAUUCAUUCGUGAAAAUUUCGUAUCGAAGCACGAUCGAAGCAAGCGAUCGAUAAUCGACGAGAAUUCGAGGAGGAAACAAGUGAAUUUCCAUGGUAGGCCUUCUACUGUCACUUUGUCGCGAUCGAGCCGAUCUUCGACCUCAUUAAGGAUCACAUCCGACAGUAUUAUCGUCGGUGAGGCAUAAAUGAAGUGUACAUUAAGGUGAACGAGAAGAUAUUGAGUAAGUAUUCGAGGUAUAGUUCGAUCACUGAAUAAGAAAUAAGCGAUGUAUCGAACAAUUUAUUUAUAUUAUGCUCGAAUAACCAAAAAACAAAUAAUUUGAUUCUUUCUUCUUUUUAUUU